AGGGUUCAGGCGUCUCGCUCGCCACGCCUUGGAUGGAUAUGGCGUCGCCUGGCGCGUCUAGUCGUCGCCAUGGCGUCCAAUCUUUCGCCACGGACGCCACCCAGAAGAAAAUACGUGCUUAGGAUUUGUGCCUAGUUGCGCGCGCGUUUUUGGAGCGCGUACAUGGUUUUAGGGUUUGCGUGCGAGCGUCCUUUCCUGUAGCGCACCAAACCGAGAGUGGGAGGGAAAGAGAAGGAAGAGAGGAACAGCUGCAGCGCACCUUUCUUGCAGCGCGCCAAACCGGCGGUAGCAGCUGCAGUCUGGCGGCCGUCCGCCUCCAUCCGGUGUGUCGCCUCCUCCAUCCGGCGUGCCGCCUCUCAUCCAUCCGGUGUGCCGCCGCUCGUCUCCUCCAUCCAGUGCGCCGCCUCCUCCAUCCGGCGCGCCGCCAACAUCCGCUUGCAGCUUGAAAGAAAAGAAGAGGUAUUGGAUCUUCGAUAAAGUAAAGGUUCAAGCAAGAACCCGUGCACAUCCCAGAAGAACCUACCGAGAAAUAUUCCCAAGUGUUGACACUUGGGUGUUUAUUUUGUAAGCUCUGUGUAAUUAUGUAUGGAUGCAUCAUCAACCUUUUGAAGAUAAUUUAUAUAAAUAUAACAACUUGAUUUCA